rnacentral:rRNA from 1 species
ACUCCUACGGGAGGCAGCAGUGGGGAAUAUUGCACAAUGGGCGAAAGCCUGAUGCAGCCAUGCCGCGUGUAUGAAGAAGGCCUUCGGGUUGUAAAGUACUUUCAGUCGUGAGGAAGGGUGUGUAGUUAAUAGCUGCCUACGGUGACGUUAGCGACAGAAGAAGCACCGGCUAACUCCGUGCCAGCAGCCGCGGUAAUAC